rnacentral:rRNA from 1 species
AUUGAACGCUGGCGGCAGGCCUAACACAUGCAAGUAGAGCGAGCGGCGGACGGGUGAGUAAUAUCUGGGAAACUGCCUGAUGGAGGGGGAUAACUACUGGAAACGGUAGCUAAUCCCGCAUACCAUCAGAUGUGCCCAGAUGGGGUUAGCUAGUAGGGGGGGUAACACCUCACAUAGGCGACGAUCCCUAGCUGGUCUGAGAGUAUCACCAGUCACACUGGAACUGAGACACGUUCCAGACUCCUACGUGAGGCAGCAGUGGGGAAUAUUGCCCAAUGGGCGCAAGCCUGAUGCAGCCAUGCCGCGUGUGUGAAGAAGGCCUUCGGGUUGUAAAGCACUUUCAGCGGGGAGGCGUUACCCGCAGAAGAAGCACCGGCUAACUCCGUGCCAGCAGCCGCGGUAAUAC